UGGUGUUUUACAAAUUAGCUGCAUUGAGGAUUUUACCGCAAAAUAAAAUGGAAAUGUGGUAUCAUCAGUAUUCUGUGUGUGUGUGUGUGCUGGAGUUCUGGCAGACUGACUUCUCUCCGCUCAGAUAAUAAACUGUUUCUCUGUUUUUCUCAGACUAGCGAGAGAAACUUUUGGUGUUAAUCGACUGUUUGGCUGAGAGAUUGUUUGCUGCAUCCUGUGCUUCUGCUGCGACUCCGAGAGAACGGGUUUCAGGAUUCCUGCUUUGUCUGGUGUCCUGGUGUCCUCCACCUCUCUACCCCUCCCCCCCUCUACCUCUAUCAUUUUUGGACAUCUAUCUUUCCUGUCACUCUAGUGUAUAUCUAUCUAAUUUUUGGACAUUCUAUCUUGUAUCAAUCUAUCCUCAUCUAUCUUUAGCACUUAAGGUGGUGCGCCAUAUUGGGGUUGGACCUUCAGAUACCAGAGUUUGGGCAACAUUUUGGAAAAAGUUUUCUGGACAAAGUUUUAUGGGAACCCGGUUUUGGACAAAGAUUUUUGUGUGAUCCUGUUAAGAUCUACCUGUUCUGAUCUGAGAGCGUCUCUGCCCUCGCACUCUGUCUCUCUGCUGUUUUGUCCUAUCCUGCAAGUUCCUGGAGUGUGUUAAUUUUCAGUAAAUCAGCUGUUUCAGCUCCUGUGCUGCUGCCACUGGACUCACUGCAGGUUUGUUUAUUAAAGUCUUGCUAUAAAAGACCACAUCCAGCAUUGGAGAAGCAGUCUGCUGUCUGUCCUGAGCUGAACUGACGAGAGGAAUCCAGAGACCAGAAACAAUCUUCAUCCCACUACCGUC